CUACGGGGUGCACCAGUGGGGAAUAUUGCACAAUGGAGGAAACUCUGAUGCAGCAACGCCGCGUGGAGGAUGACACUUUUCGGAGCGUAAACUCCUUUUAUAUAGGAAGAAGAUGACGGUACUAUAUGAAUAAGCGCCGGCUAACUCCGUGCCAGCAGCCGCGGUAUACGGAGGGCGCAAGCGUUACUCGGAAUCACUGGGCGUAAAGAGCGUGUAGGCGGAUUAAAAAGUCAGAAGUGAAAUCCUAUAGCUUAACUAUAGAACUGCUUCUGAAACUCUUAAUCUAGAAUAUGGGAGAGGUAGACGGAAUUUCUGGUGUAGGGGUAAAAUCCGUAGAGAUCAGAAGGAAUACCGAUUGCGAAGGCGAUCUACUAGAACAUUAUUGACGCUGAGACGCGAAAGCGUGGGGAGCAAACAGGAUUAGAUACCCUUGUAGUC
rnacentral:rRNA from 1 species